GCUUGCGGCGUGCUUAACACAUGCAAGUCGAACGAGAAAGUUCCCUUCGGGGGAUGAGUAAAGUGGCGCACGGGUGAGUAACGCGUAGAUAAUCUACCCAGGUAUUUGGGACAACAUCGGGAAACUGAUGCUAAUACCGGAUACGUUCUUGAAGUAGCGAUGCAUUAAGAAGAAAGGUGGCCACUCCAUGGAAGCUACCGUACUUGGAUGAGUUUGCGUACCAUUAGCUAGUUGGUAGGGUAAAGGCCUACCAAGGCGACGAUGGUUAGCGGGUCUGAGAGGAUGAUCCGCCACACUGGCACUGGAACACGGGCCAGACUCCUACGGGAGGCAGCAGUGAGGAAUUUUGCACAAUGGGGGAAACCCUGAUGCAGCGACGCCGCGUGAGUGAUGAAGGCUUUCGAGUCGUAAAGCUCUGUCAAUAGGGAAGAAGUGUGAGGUGGUUAAUAUCCAUUUCAUUUGACGGUACCUAUAAAGGAAGCACCGGCUAACUCCGUGCCAGCAGCCGCGGUAAUACGGAGGGUGCGAGCGUUGUUCGGAAUUACUGGGCGUAAAGGGCGCGUAGGCGGCCCUGUAAGUCGGGUGUGAAAGUCCACGGCUCAACCGUGGAAGUGCAUCUGAUACUGCA
rnacentral:rRNA from 1 species